GACGAACGCUGGCGGCGCGCUUAACACAUGCAAGUCGAACGGAAAGGCCUGCUUUCCCUUGUGGAUUGCGGGUACUCGAGUGGCGAACGGGUGAGUAACACGUGAGUUAUCUGCCCCCAACUUGGGUAUAAGCCUGGGAAACUGGGUCUAAUUCCCGAUAGGACUGCAGGGUGGUGCCUGUGGUGGAAAACGAUUUUCUAGUGGUUGGGGAUGAGCUCGCGGCCUAUCAGCUUGUUGGUGGGGUAAUGGCCUACCAAGGCGGCGACGGGUAGCCGGCCUGGGAGGGUGGACGGCCACAUCGGGACUGAGAUACGGCCCAGACUCCUACGGGAGGCAGCAGUGGGGAAUAUUGCACAAUGGGCGGAAGCCUGAUGCAGCGACGCCGCGUGGGGGAUGACGGCCUUCGGGUUGUAAACUCCUUUCGACCGCGAGGAAGCCACCUGGUUGGAAGGGUGGUGACGGUAGUGGUAGAAGAAGCACCGGCUAACUACGUG
rnacentral:rRNA from 1 species